rnacentral:rRNA from 1 species
AACGCUGGCGGCAGGCCUAACACAUGCAAGUCGAGCGGAAACGAUCCUAGCUUGCUAGGAGGCGUCGAGCGGCGGACGGGUGAGUAACGCGUGAGAAUCUACCCAUGAGUGGGGGACAACCCGGGGAAACUCGGGCUAAUACCGCAUACGCCCUACGGGGUAAAGCAGGGGACCUUCGGGCCUUGCGCUGAUGGAUGAGCUCGCGUCGGAUUAGCUUGUUGGUGAGGUAAAGGCUCACCAAGGCGACGAUCCGUAGCUGGUCUGAGAGGAUGAUCAGCCACACCGGGACUGAGACACGGCCCGGACUCCUACGGGAGGCAGCAGUGGGGAAUCUUGGACAAUGGGGGCAACCCUGAUCCAGCCAUGCCGCGUGUGUGAAGAAGGCCUUCGGGUUGUAAAGCACUUUCAGCAGGGAGGAAGGCUUACCCCUAAUACGGGUGAGUACUUGACGUUACCUGCAGAAGAAGCACCGGCUAAUUUCGUG